rnacentral:rRNA from 1 species
UACGUAGGGCGCAAGCGUUGUCCGGAAUUAUUGGGCGUAAAGAGCUCGUAGGUGGCUUGUCGCGUCUGCCGUGAAAGCCCAUGGCUUAACUGUGGGUCUGCGGUGGAUACGGGCUGGCUAGAGGUAGGUAGGGGCAAGCGGAAUUCCUGGUGUAGCGGUGAAAUGCGCAGAUAUCAGGAGGAACACCGGUGGCGAAGGCGGAUCUCUGGGCCUUACCUGACGCUGAGGCGCGAAAGCUAGGGGAGCAAACAGG